rnacentral:rRNA from 1 species
AGCGAACGCUGGCGGCAGGCUUAACACAUGCAAGUCGAACGGGCGUAGCAAUACGUCAGUGGCAGACGGGUGAGUAACACGUGGGAACGUACCUUUUGGUUCGGAACAACUGAGGGAAACUUCAGCUAAUACCGGAUAAGCCCUUACGGGAAAGAUUUAUCGCCGAAAGAUCGGCCCGCGUCUGAUUAGCUAGUUGGUGGGGUAAGAGCCCACCAAGGCGACGAUCAGUAGCUGGUCUGAGAGGAUGAUCAGCCACAUUGGGACUGAGACACGGCCCAAACUCCUACGGGAGGCAGCAGUGGGGAAUAUUGGACAAUGGGCGAAAGCCUGAUCCAGCCAUGCCGCGUGAGUGAUGAAGGCCCUAGGGUUGUAAAGCUCUUUUAACGGGGAAGAUAAUGACGGUACCCGUAGAAUAAGCCCGGCUAACUUCGUGCCAGCAGCCGCGGUAAU